GUAGGUGGCAAGCGCUGUCCGGAAUUAUUGGGCGUAAAGCGCGCGCAGGCGGUUCUUUAAGUCUGAUGUGAAAGCCCACGGCUCAACCGUGGAGGGUCAUUGGAAACUGGAGAACUUGAGUACAGAAGAGGAAAGCGGAAUUCCACGUGUAGCGGUGAAAUGCGUAGAGAUGUGGAGGAACACCAGUGGCGAAGGCGGCUUUCUGGUCUGUAACUGACGCUGAGGCGCGAAAGCGUGGGGGAGCAAACAGGAUUAGAUACCCUGGUAGUCCACGCCGUAAACGAUGAGUGCUAAGUGUUAGGGGGUUUCCGCCCCUUAGUGCUGCAGCUAACGCAUUAAGCACUCCGCCUGGGGAGUACGGCCGCAAGGCUG
rnacentral:rRNA from 1 species